GUGCUCACUUCAGCAGCACAUACACUGAAAUUGGAACGAUACAGAGAUUAGCAUGGCCCCUGCGCAAGGAUGACAUGUAAACUUGUGAAGCAUUCCAUAUUAAA